rnacentral:rRNA from 1 species
GAUGAACGCUGGCGGCGUGCCUAAUACAUGCAAGUCGAGCGAACAGACGAGGAGCUUGCUCCUCUGACGUUAGCGGCGGACGGGUGAGUAACACGUGGAUAACCUACCUAUAAGACUGGGAUAACUUCGGGAAACCGGAGCUAAUACCGGAUAAUAUAUUGAACCGCAUGGUUCAAUAGUGAAAGACGGUUUUGCUGUCACUUAUAGAUGGAUCCGCGCCGCAUUAGCUAGUUGGUAAGGUAACGGCUUACCAAGACAACGAUGCGUAGCCGACCUGAGAGGGUGAUAGGCCACACUGGAACUGAGACACGGUCCAGACUCCUAAGGGAGGCAGCAGUAGGGAAUCUUCCGCAAUGGGCGAAAGCCUGACGGAGCAACGCCGCGUGAGUGAUGAAGGUCUUCGGAUCGUAAAACUCUGUUAUUAGGGAAGAACAAAUGUGUAAGUAACUAUGCACGUCUUGACGGUACCUAAUCAGAAAGCCACGGCUAACUACGUG